ensembl:snRNA U6 U6 spliceosomal RNA
AUGCUCACUUUGGCAGCACAUUUACAAAAAUUGAAAUGACACAGAGAAGAUUAACAUGGACCCUGUUCAAGGAUAACAUGCAAAUUUGUGAAGCUUUCCAUAUUUUU